GCUGUUGUUUCGCAAGCCCAAUGACCUGUGGGCUCGUGCUCUCUGGCGAUUGGCUGGGUGAGACAUUUUGGGGUGCAUGGCAGCCUCUCCUUCCCCGCCGCGUGUUCCCAACCCUAGCCCCGGAUGCAGCCAUCCACUCCCACCUCCUCCUCCUCCCGAUUCCCACAGCCGCCGCAUCCCUCCCUCUUCCUUGCGUGCGUGCUCGUCGCCGCUUUUCCCCUCGCUUCCCCACCUUACCUCCGACGCCUCCACCGGCUACCACAGAUCUAUGGCCGAUGGGAGGAUACGAGGAAGGAAAGGACGUUGUUGUCGCCCCGUCACUUAGGCCCCCUGGCGGCGCCCGGGUCGGGGCUGGGAAGAAGGCCAGUGCCCGCAAGGGAAAGUAGCGGGGGGCGGGGGUUGGUGCAGCGGCAAAUGCGGGCGGGGUCUGCCAUGGAGGGAGGCUCGCCGGCCGGAACAGCAGGAGCAAGGAGGUCGUGCAGCCGAUGCGGGCGGGGUCGGUCGUGGAAGGAGGCUCGCUGGACGGAGCAGCAAGAGAAAGGAGGUGGAGGUGGUUCUGGGGCACCGCAAGGAGUGUAACGCAAAGAUCAUGCUAUGGCGGUACAGUAGGAGGAAGGAGCUGACAGUGGUCAUAGUUUGCCUCUACCUCGCUAUGUGCUAAAGACAGAUCCAGAAGACCCUUGAUGGGUCAUGCUUUUUGGCUGCCUUUUGCGUUCCUGGACAUCAUCGAAGUUGAACUAAGAAGAAGAUGAAAUCUUGCCGAGAUCUGAGGAUGAAGAGAAGAAGAUGUGGGUUAACUUUGGGAAUAGUUGAAUUGGUCAAAAAAUAUGAAUGAAACACAUCAAAGGAUGAGGCUUGUUCAAAUGAAAUUGCAAGAACUUAUGAGCUUGCUUGUCUACUAUGGAGAAGAGUAUUCUUUGAAGGAGUUGUAGGCCUUUCGAAUAUGCUUCGAUUUGGACACUUUUUCAGCAUGUACAUGAUAAGGGCAGGUAAGAGCGCAACUUGGUUUUCGGCUCAGGUUUGACUACUGUUAUGUCAUCCUCAUAUUUGUGUUGCAGGUUACUUGUCUUUCAACCCAUUUGUGAAAAUUAUAGUGCACUUUUUAUGGGGCAGGAUAAAGAGCCCAUGUUAUUUUGCUUGGCUUAUAUUUAGAAGUUUCCAUAUGAUGUUACUAUCUCUAUCUUCCUAUUACUUUCUCCAUCAGUCACAUUUGAAUUUGCUAAUAUAUGUUCUUUUAAACAAGACAUGUACAGAUCUGUGAAUUUUUAUUUGCUGGUAGGGAUUCUUUAUAUUGAUAUGAUUGUAUAAGAAAGAAAGAACUUAUUGACUUAUUUGGAGAUUACCUUUGUAGUAUAAGACAAUGAUAUUUUAAGACAUUCACAAAAAGAAGUAUUCGAUAUGUCAGGAUUUAUAUGAUUACAUAGUCAUGCGUAUUUCAUCUCUUUUCCUGAUCAAUGAAGGAAUGGUCUUGGUAACUUUAUCAGGUCCUUACAUCUAUUUGUGUAACGUUGAUUCAGGCAAUGAAAAACUUAGGGCCCGUUCGGUAUGGACGAUUUUUGCAGGCAUAUCGCAGGAACUGAAAACAGAGGAAAGUUUGUACAGGCAGUGAAAAUAGGGUGCUCAUUUUUAUCUUGCUGAUUUAGAUUUUGACAGUAGAAUGUGGUUUUGGUAUGUUGCGGUUCACUCGGUUUCGGAAAAGAUGUAAGUGUCAAUUCAUUAUUUUUUCAGGUUUCUUAAUUGUUCAUACAUUUGCAUCUAUGUUACAGGUGCUAGCUUUCAUUGCUAGGAUUUCUUUCAACAUAUUCAAAUCUGUAUAGAAUAAGGUUUCCCCUUGAAUAUACCUUAUGUAUCCAUAUAUUAGAUUUUUGUGUGGUUCAUUUGUUGCAAAAAGUAUAAAUAAUAUUCUGAUUGAUCAUAUGCAAAUUUUGUUUGAAAUCUUAAAGCAGUCUUACUAACAUCUGACAAGUUGUACGUGAAGAAGAUCAUGUCCUAGCAGUUAUAUGCUUGUGGAGUACAUUUAUUGUAUGCUUUUUGUUUAGAUGUAGUUUCAUAUCAUAAUCAAGUGUUUUUGAUGUAGUUUCAUAUCAUAAUCAAGUGUUUUUCAAUACUCUCUCUCUCUCUCUCUCAAAAUGUCUUAAAUUUUUGGUUUUUAAUGUAUUGGCCUCUGAAUGAUCUAGAUGGUAUAUAGGAGUAUCUAUAUCACCGAAUGACCUCGACUUAUACCUUUGUGGUUUGCAACCACUGAAACAUGUGUUGCUGCAGAUUUAUCUUUAUUUUGAUGUUGAGCAUGUAGGCGGGUUCUCAUGGUAGGAUUGGAUACACUCGGAUCUCAAUGGUACUGAUACUCUAAGCAACUUGCUAGCAAGUGUUCUGUCGCAGUUGAUUGCACAUGUGGAGGGCUUCUGGAUGCUUUUAUUGUCUCAUGUCAUAAGGAUUUACAACUUUUACGAGAAUGCGUGCCUAGAGUAUUGAUAAUUCCAGAUGGUUCACUUCCUACAAUAGAUCACCCUACAGUACUAUCAAUUAUUUAGUCAGAGAAUCAUACUAUGCUGAACAUAUUGGUGGAUCAGACAGAUUGGCAUUGCAGCUGGAAGUUUGAUGCGCUGGAUCUCCCCUGACGCGGGAACGGUCAAGUUAAAUUUAGAUGCUUCGUUCUUUGCUGAGACUUGGAGGUGCUGUAUUGGGGCCAUCGCCAGGGGGCCUGUCUUGUCUAAACAGACUGCACUUGCUGUUGAAAGAACUGUCCUCGCCCGCUCCCAGCCGAUAUGUAUGAUUCCCAACUUUAUCUGACAUUAAGACCAGCUCUUCAUUUGUUUCUGUCCAAUUCCGGGCGAUCAACAGGAACCAUAAUACUAUUGCACAUGCCCUUGGUGUGUGCCAGAUCUAAAGACAACAUACUCAAGAUUGCAGAUGUCCUUGCGGAGCUACGUGGAGCAAUUAAAUCUCUGAUUGUAAACAAGGUUCGUGAGUAGUUUCUACUCUGUAUCUCAAAAAAUGCAUCUGAAGGAAAAAGCUUUUAAAAUUGUAAUGUAUUUCACUCCUUUUGUCAUGGAGUAGAUAAGGCCUCUCUGGUUCGGGUGUGACCGUGCUAUUGUUGCGUCGCGUUUGGGCUAUUUGAUUUCUUAGAGAUAGAGCAUGCACAACUCACACUGCUUGUAUUCAUGCAUCUGGUGCGC
rnacentral:rRNA from 1 species